GGAGAAACGCAAUGUGUUGCUGUGGCUGCCAGCUCCUGGACUUAUCCUCUCUUUUCUUUCUCCCCGAGUGCUGUAAAAUACGCCGCGAAUUCAGCACCACCAAUGGAUUCUUUUUCCUUAAGGUGUGGAUUUUUUGAAAUGAGAAAAUGGAACCGAGGGAGCUUGUGAAAGAGGAGAUCCUUGAGACAAAGCGCAGUGCCAGCCAGAAGCUCAGCCUCGGAUACCUGGCCGUCAGACAGAACAUGGGCAUGAAGACGAGAGCAGAGACAGACCCUACAUUGCACCAAGGCCACGUCAGCUAUGCAGGAGACAGUGGACCUGCAAAUGCAACAAGAAACAGGAAGCUCUUCUUUAACGUCCGUUGUUGCCUUCGUCCUCCCAGCGGCUUCUCCUGCAAGAAGAUGUGGAUGAAGAUCAAGUGAGCACCAGGCUGCCGCCAUAUGUGCAGGAACACCUGCAGAAUAAAAAGUCCUGUUCACCAGAGAUGUACCGCUCCUCUUUGCACCCCUGGAAGCAGGCUGGAGGGGAUUGGGCUCUGGGUGUUGCACCCCACCUGAGGGAGAAUGUACGCACUUUCAGAGGGCAGCCCCCAGCCAAGCAGCACCACCCUGGGAAGCCUCAGCUUCAGCCAAGAGCUGGGGGACAAACAGGGGCUCAAGUGCUGAGCAGAGCCCAGGGAACAGAGAACUGGCUUGGGAGCACUGGGGGGUUCCACCACCUGCCAGGAAGCACCCACACUGCGCUUACCAGAACAGAGAGCUUCACGCUGUUGGGCAGCUUCUGGCAUUUCUUGCUCACAACCUCCAGCAGAAGCCAGCUGCAUCACUGCACCUUCCCUGCCGGUGGAGGAGGGCAGGCAAGGUGCAGCUGCCCCCAGGAUGCCGUGUCCCCAGGCACCCCCUACCCCCACGGGAGCAGGGAGGUGCCCCACAGCAGGAAGCAGCACCAGGACCCCAAGUCCUGUUAGGAAGGAAGUGCUGCUGCACCAACAGCCCUGCACCACUGCUCCCCAUACCUCUC
rnacentral:lncRNA from 1 species